UGCCUGGUUUGAUGAUUACUGAAAUGUGGACAUACACACAGUUCAGCACAGUGGAGUAUUCAUCAGUAAAAUAGGCACUAAAAAUCUUUGAUCAAUACCCAGCCCUCAACCAAAUCAGUAACUGGGAGGAUCAUGCUGAUCUGGAUACUGAAGAGCGGUUUGUAGUUAUUCCAACGCCACCCAAGGCAUUGCUCAAGUUACCUGAGAGGACCUGUGCAGUCCUGAAUAGGAAGAUUCAACCACACAGUUGUGAAUGGAAGAGGUAGCAGUGCAAGAUGCUCUCCAGACUGAAGCAUUGUCCAGGCUGUGAAAAACCCUGACUUAGUAAAUCAAUAUCAAUGCCCUGCAAAGUACAUCAUAAAUCUGGAAGUUCUGGAGAGCUAACCGUGAGGUAAUAACACCACUUCACAUUUUAAAACAUUUCACAAUCAUUAGGAAAAUCUCAGGAGGCCUUUGAUCCAUUUUCAUCUUUUGGGGGGGUCUUCCAACAAUUAAGAAUUAUUGGAAUAUAUUGGUUUUCCAGACACAUCUCCUCUUCAAAAUUAAUUUUUUUAAAAAGACUUGUGUAUGUAAUAUGUUUUGAGUUAAUAAUCCUGUGCUAGGAGAUAAAAUUUAACCUGAAAGAACAGAUUUCAAUCUAGAAGAACUUUUUAUUUAAGCUUUGGACAACGGGAUUUCUCCAGACUAGCCAAGAUUUCUCCUUUAGC
rnacentral:lncRNA from 1 species